AUACGUAGGGGGCUAGCGUUAUCCGGAAUUACUGGGCGUAAAGGGUGCGUAGGUGGUUUCUUAAGUCAGAAGUGAAAGGCUACGGCUCAACCGUAGUAAGCUUUUGAAACUAAGAGACUUGAGUGCAGGAGAGGAGAGUAGAAUUCCUAGUGUAGCGGUGAAAUGCGUAGAUAUUAGGAGGAAUACCAGUUGCGAAGGCGGCUCUCUGGACUGUAACUGACACUGAGGCACGAAAGCGUGGGGAGCAAACGGGAUUAGAUACCCUGGUAGUCCACGCCGUAAACGAUGAGUACUAGCUGUCGGGGGUUACCCCCCUCGGUGGCGCAGCUAACGCAUUAAGUACUCCGCCUGGGGAGUACGGUGGCAACACUGAAACUCAAAUGAAUUGGCGGGG
rnacentral:rRNA from 1 species